rnacentral:lncRNA from 1 species
GCUGCCUCUUCCUACGGCGGGCUCAAUGAGAAAGAAGGCCUGGGCAGCUACGUCAGCAAGGCCGAGGAUAUGCUCCGUAAGUACGGCAGCGGCGGAAGCGGCGGAGGAAGCGGCGGCGAUACUGCGGGAAAGGAAAAAAAGCAGCAUGAAUCGGGUAGCGGUGAGCAUGAGACCAAGAAGAAACCCAGUAAAACUGAUGAGGAUGAGGGCGGAUCUGGUGGAUUUGGAGAUUAUUUUAAGAUGGCUCAGGGUUUCUUAAAGGGUUGAUUAAGAAAAAGUGAUUUGAUUAAUCACUAAUUAUGUUAUGUGGUCU